rnacentral:rRNA from 1 species
GAUCAUGGCUCAGGAUGAGCGCUGGCGGCGUGCUUAACACAUGCAAGUCGAACGAAGCGGUUUAGCGGAAGUUUUCGGAUGGAAGUUAAACUGACUGAGUGGCGGACGGGUGAGUAACGCGUGGGUAACCUGCCUCACACAGGGGGACAACAGCUAGAAAUGGCUGCUAAUACCGCAUAAGCGCACAGCUUCGCAUGAAGCAGUGUGAAAAACUCCGGUGGUGUGAGAUGGACCCG